rnacentral:rRNA from 1 species
AACGAACGCUGGCGGCAUGCCUAAUACAUGCAAGUCGAACGAGAUCUUCGGAUCUAGUGGCGCACGGGUGCGUAACGCGUGGGAAUCUGCCCUUGGGUUCGGAAUAACUUCUGGAAACGGAAGCUAAUACCGGAUGAUGACGUAAGUCCCAAGAUUUAUCGCCCAAGGAUGAGCCCGCGUAGGAUUAGGUAGUUGGUGAGGUAAAGGCUCACCAAGCCGACGAUCCUUAGCUGGUCUGAGAGGAUGAUCAGCCACACUGGGACUGAGACACGGCCCAGACUCCUACGGGAGGCAGCAGUAGGGAAUAUUGGACAAUGGGCGAAAGCCUGAUCCAGCAAUGCCGCGUGAGUGAUGAAGGCCUUAGGGUUGUAAAGCUCUUUUACCCGGGAUGAUAAUGACAGUACCGGGAGAAUAAGCUCCGGCUAACUCCGUG